UACGUAGGGGGCAAGCGUUGUCCGGAUUUAUUGGGCGUAAAGAGCUCGUAGGCGGCUAUUCACGUCGGGUGUCAAAGCUCGGGGCUCAACCCUGAGAGGCCAUUCGAUACGGAAUAGCUAGAGGCAGGUAGGGGAGAGUGGAAUUCCUGGUGUAGCGGUGAAAUGCGCAGAUAUCAGGAGGAACACCGAUGGCGAAGGCAGCUCUCUGGGCCUUGCCUGACGCUGAGGAGCGAAAGCUGGGGGAGCGAACAGG
rnacentral:rRNA from 1 species